CCUACGGGAGGCUGCAGUGAGGAAUAUUGGUCAAUGGACGAGAGUCUGAACCAGCCAAGUAGCGUGAAGGAUGACUGCCCUAUGGGUUGUAAACUUCUUUUAUAUGGGAAUAAAACGUUCCACGUGUGGGAUUUUGUAUGUACCAUAUGAAUAAGGAUCGGCUAACUCCGUGCCAGCAGCCGCGGUAAUACGGAGGAUCCGAGCGUUAUCCGGAUUUAUUGGGUUUAAAGGGAGCGUAGGUGGAUUGUUAAGUCAGUUGUGAAAGUUUGCGGCUCAACCGUAAAAUUGCAGUUGAAACUGGCAGUCUUGAGUACAGUAGAGGUGGACGGAAUUCGUGGUGUAGCGGUGAAAUGCUUAGAUAUCACGAAGAACUCCGAUUGCGAAGGCAGUUCACUGGACUGCAACUGACACUGAGGCUCGAAAGUGUGGGUAUCAAACAGGAUUAGAUACCCCAGUAGUC
rnacentral:rRNA from 1 species